AUUGAACGCUGGCGGCAGGCCUAACACAUGCAAGUCGAGCGGUAGAGAGGAGCUUGCUUCUCUUGAGAGCGGCGGACGGGUGAGUAAUGCCUAGGAAUCUGCCUAGUGGUGGGGGAUAACGUUCGGAAACGGACGCUAAUACCGCGUACGUCCUACGGGAGAAAGCAGGGGACCUUCGGGCCUUGCGCUAGCAGAUGAGCCUAGGUCGGAUUAGCUAGUUGGUGAGGUAAUGGCUCACCAAGGCUACGAUCCGUAACUGGUCUGAGAGGAUGAUCAGUCACACUGGAACUGAGACACGGUCCAGACUCCUACGGGAGGCAGCAGUGGGGAAUAUUGGACAAUGGGCGAAAGCCUGAUCCAGCCAUGCCGCGUGUGUGAAGAAGGUCUUCGGAUUGUAAAGCACUUUAAGUUGGGAGGAAGGGCAGUAAGUUAAUACCUUGCUGUUUUGACGUUACCGACAGAAUAAGCACCGGCUAACUUCGUGCCAGCAGCCGCAGUAACAC
rnacentral:rRNA from 1 species